GAUGAAUAUACGGGUGGUACCGUGGUCAUUCGCGAAACAUAUGCACCACUAAUGAAAGUAGGAGUUCCUGGGUAAAGUUUUGUGAUUUUAAAACUCAAUUUUCUCUGGAGUUUUUGAGAUUUCACAUUUGAUUUAUACCAUUUCUUGCAUUUGUUUUGGCACAACAAUAUGCCUGAAGUUCCUCCCUCAAAUUAAUGUAAGACAUAUUCACUGUCAUGAUCGUGUGCAGGAUUGGACAAAACAAGAUGGCAGACUGCAUUUCCAAACAAAGGUAUCAAGCCCUAGAACUUCAUUCCAUGAGAUGGGUACACUUCGAAUGUGCGAAAUUUGUGGUGAGGAAUUCAAGACCAAUUUUGAAUUGCGUAGGCAUGUAAAAAGGAAACAUCAAUCAGAGAAAUUGUCUUCGUUUGUGACCAGUGCAACACAGGCUUUUGCAAAUUAUAAAAGAAACAUGAAGUAAAAAAAAAAAUACAUUGUUUUCUGAAUACACGAGGUGCAUACAUAUACCAUGGCAGCCGUUUUAUAUAUUCGUUUAUAUGUACAAUAUGAAACGAUUAUUUUUACGGUAUUAUGCUUUGUUUUACAGAGAUACUACUGAUCUUUUACAUUGCAUUUUACACAUGUUGAUUUGUCAUUUCAUUGAACCAGAAGUGUUCUUAAUUUUUACUUGUUAUUAAAUAUAUUUCAAUGUU